AACUCUGGAGGAUUUUAUGAGGGAUCUCAGCCUCAGUUUUUUACUGAGGCUGACCAGUGAGUUCCUCCAAUCAUGGGAUUUUACUCUUUUUUUGAAACAGUUUCUUUCUUCUGUU